GUGGAUUCUUUUGGCAAAUCAUGCAGAGCCGGUUCAAGGCCUUAUCCAGCGUUUCUUACGUCGUCGCUUGAUUCAAAGUCAACUGCUGGCUAAAUCACGUGACGGAGCAUUGGAGCGAGUUGUCGAGUGGAUCCCUCGUUGUUGGGCCCACAUGAACAAAUUUCUGGAGACUCACAAUUCGGCUGACGUGACGAUUAGCCCGCGUUGGUUCCUACAGGUCCCAGCUGAUUCGACGUGCUCACAAAUUUGGUUCACCGAUCUUUGGAAUUAUACUUUGGGGCCUUACCUGCUGCACGCAGCUAAAGAAGGGCUUCAGCUCUAUGGAAAACGAGCGCCAUGGGAAGAUCCUACGUCAUAUCCACUUAUCCUUGGGCUCAAGGCAGUGCCUGUGAUGCUCUUAUGCGACUUCGACCUGAAGAUGUUGGUUACGACUCAGCAACAAGAUCAUAUUCUACGAGUACUUCAAACCAGGAUCGAGAUCCAUUGUGCAAAAAUGUUGAACCGAAGAGGCCACAUAUUUGGAUUUGUAUCUGACCUGGGUACACACUCUUUCUUGAUUGUGUGCAAACUGACUAGCCUUAAUUGGACCAGCUAAGGUUACCGGGUCGACGAUUCGCAAGGGUUAACUGAAUAACCACGGCUGACGACACUUCGCCGGAGAUACCGAUGUUUUGUGGAUUAUUCCUUUAUCAACGCACAAGAACCAGCAACAAAAAUGUUUUGCUCGAUUGCCUUGAACCCCACUUGAAACGCUUGAACCACUCUCGAUAGUUGUAAAAAAAGCCUAUUCUUUCUUUACAGUUAUAAAGGAUAUUUCUGGAUUGUGAACUUUCAUGCCAUUAGUUACCACUUCACAUAUGAAAGCAAUCACAGCCUAUGGCACCUAGUAGAGUAAUAACCACUUUAUAAGUGAACAACUUUAUGGAAUUCUCAUUUUUGCUGUCUGCUUCAAAUUGGAUUUUGGAAUCAGUGACAUGUCGGCGAUGAUUGAAGAACAAGUUUCAAAGUGAAUUUGAGCAUUUAAAGUUUUUCAAUCUCCACUAAGUUCCAUUUUUUUUCCAUUGAAUCUGCUGCUGAAAGAGGGAUGAAUGCUUACAAAAAUGUUUUUCUGUGUGUCUUUAUCUGGCAAACUAUAGUCAGUAGAACUAUUGUACAUAACACACACUGCAAAUGCACCAACAGCCAGCUAGAGGGAGAUGGUGGUUUGCAAAGACUGCCUUGUUGAAAGUUCAGUUUCUAAAAUUUGGUCAACAUGUUUUUGGUUGAUAUCCUGAAGCAAGUUAAUAUCCUGAAGCAAGUUAUUAUUUCUUGGUAAUUUUUAUAGGGUCAUUAAUUUUAAUGAUUUCAUUUUUCCAUUAAAAGAUUCAUUCAAGAACAGUCACAAACAAUUGCGCUGUUUUCAACAGUGGAACAAGCAGCCAACACGUAUCCGGGAGCAGUAGUUUAAUAGGGUCCUCCAAUAAAAGCUGGUAUCGAAUUCAUGCGUUCGAGUUUCAACUCCUCUUCCCAGCGCACAUGGAUUGACUGAUGGGCUGAAUUUGACUUGUUGACAUCCAGGUAACUGGGUAAGACACAAGGCAUAGUUCCUUUCAUCCUAUUUUCUUCUCAGCUCUCCUUUUCGUAAAUGGUGAAUUCUUGUUGAAAAACCACUUACUCAUAAACCUCAUCUGAACUAUUAGAAUUUGUUGUUGUCAAUGUCAUUUUGAUUUUUGAAAAAACCGCCAAUUCUUACUUUUCCGGGCACCUAGUAGAGGAAUUCCGUACUGCUUUAUGGAAUCCCGUUUCCCUGUCGUCUGCAGGUCUGCUUCAUUCGUCUCGUGGUUGACUGACUUGUGAGCUCGUGACGUUGUGACUUGUAACAGCAUAACAUUGUGUUAUGUAUGAUUGUAUGGGGGUUUGAAGUUCCAAAGCUGGAUUGCUUGGUAGAUGUAUUCUUAGAAUAUGUGACAUAUUCAUUCCAGUUGAAUCGGGUUGUCAAUGAUGACUCUUGAAGCUUAUAAAGAUUGGGAAACCAUGCUGUCUACCACAUCAUCCACCACAUCCAGAAGCUGAGUAACAUGUACAGUUUUCUUAAUGGCACCUUUUAAAUAUGGAACUUCAGCCAUCCCAUUGUGCAGGCUUUAUGGAAUUGUCGUUUAUCUUAAGCUGUUAACAUAAGUAACAUAUGCACUAAUUGAAGGCUGGUAAGUGGUGAGGUGACAAUCUUAUCCACUUUAGAUUUGAAAUUUAAUGUGUUGUUAAUCUAGAAGUAAAACAUCCAAAGUUUUCAGGAACCAAAAGAUUUCAUUGUCUAGUUUUUUUUGUUGUUGGGAUUUCAUUAAGUUAUCUCAGCUCUUUCCUUUAAUCAUUUAGUUGAGGAUUUUGUAAAUGGAAAUUUGUUGUACACAAGAUAGGUGGUUGCUUAAACAACAUUUGUCUCACUGUAGAGUACUCUAUAAAGGUUGAAAGAAUUUGUACUUGAAUCUUAAAUGAGUUACCCAAUUUCAUGCAAAUUUUUGUGUCAACAAUACCAAGCAGAUUUAACUAUUUGAACCCAUAUAAUUUAGCAAUAUAUAUAUUUUUUUCAUAUA